AAAUUUAAAACAAUCAUAAGUGCUCACUUUUGUGAGGUAAAAGGGAAUCCAGUGUAAAUCUGGAACAGCCCCCGCUACUGUAAGAGCUGAUGAAAUCACGUGACCACCUUUAAAAGAGGGAAGGUGUGAGAGUAAAGUGAAGCUCAGAGUCAGGAAACCUGCUUAUGAAUGUGUAUUGCU
rnacentral:ncRNA from 2 species